GGCGUAAUGAAAGGAAAAUUGGGGUAUUUAAAAAAAGAAGAAAGGAAAUUGGGAUGAAGCAUGAGGGUAAAAAAGUAAAUGCGUCAAUGUGUAAGGGCUAAAGAGGCUUCUGGUCUCCCUCCUCCUCCGAGCAGUUCCAAAAACCUCAUAAAACCCCUCGCCCUCAAUUUUAAGAGAGAGACAAAGAGAACCUCGAUUUCUUUUUCAGAGAGAGAAGUGGAGGGAAAAUUACAGCAACCCUCUUGGGGAAAUGGCUACUCAGUUCCCGGACGAUUUCAAGUGCCCGAUUUCUCUCGAGAUAAUGUCCGACCCGGUAAUCCUCUCUUCGGGUCACACCUUUGACCGUGCUUCUAUCCAACGGUGGCUUGACUCCGGCCACCGUACUUGCCCAAUAACUAAGCUACCACUUCCCGACCACCCUCCUCUCAUUCCCAACCAUGCUCUUAGAAGUCUAAUUUCCAAUUAUACCCUCCUCUCCCCUCCAAAAUCACAGCCUAACCCUUCACAGCAACCGCAGCCUCAAACCCUAAUCUCCGCUGUCAUUUCUCCGUCUUCUCCUCUCAACUCCAGGCUCGACUCCCUCUCUCAGCUCACCAGACUUAGCAAACUAGACCAUGCCCUUCGCCGCCAGCUGACCGAGUCUGGAGCCGUGUCAGCUGUUCUCAACUGUGUCAGCUCGACGGAGACUGUCCUUCAGGAGAAAGCCCUCUCUCUAUUACUCAAUCUCUCCCUUGACGACGAUAACAAGGUGGGUUUAGUAGCAGAAGGCGCAAUUGGUCGGGUUGUCACAGUUCUACGGAUUGGGUCGCCGGAUAGCCGUGCCUUGGGUUGCACUAUCUUGACCAGUCUUGCAGUCGUAGAAGUGAACAAAGCGACAAUCGGGGCGUACCCAAAUGCAAUUCAAGCGUUAGUCACACUACUAAAUAAUGGGAAAGUUAGAGAGGUGAAAGAAGCAGCAACAACGUUGUAUGCUAUCUGUUCAUUUCCGGAUAAUAGAAGGCGAGCUGUGGAAUGUGGGGCGGUGCCCAUUUUGGUGAGGAUAGGCGGGAUGGGUCUGGAGAGAGCAGUGGAAGUCUUGAGUGUUUUGGUGAAGUGUAAGGAAGGGAGAGAGGAGAUGGGGAGGAUUGGUAGGUGUUUGAGGGUUUUGGUGAAGGUGAUUAAGAAUGGGAGCGAGAGAGGGAUUCAAUGUGGGCUUUUCACUUUGAAUUCUCUGUGUUGUUACAGUGAGGAAAUCUGUGGGGAAGCCAAGAGAGAAGGGGUUUUGGAGAUAUGUUUGGGGUUGGUGGAGGAUGACAACGAGAAGGUAAGCAGGAAUGCUUCCAGUUUGGUGCAAACGCUAAGUGGGUGCCGCUUGGUGGAGUGAUGGAGGGUCGCUGUCGGUUAUGGAUGGAGGUGAGUUGGGGAUUUUUCGGUAUUGUUUUUGUGGGUAUGAGUUCUCUCCUUGCUGGAUAGUUCUGUGUACAAAUGAAAGAAAAGGAUUAGAGUUUGAUGGGCGAUAUGUUCCUUCUUUUUGAAAAAAAAAAAAAGAAAGAAAGAAGAUAAUAAGUUCAUAAUCCUCGUUGUUUUAAUCUUUUUUUGCUGUCGAUUUGAAUGAUUGUGUCUUAGUCUGUCUCUCUCAUAGGAUUGCAUUGAUAGCGUCCAACUCCCAUGUGUUUCAUGUGUGUUUGUUGAGUUUUAAUUUUAAUUGGAGUUGUCAUAUGUGCGAGUUGAAGUUCUGUGAUCCAUUAUCACAGUAGCACUGUAAUUUCUGGGGAUGAGUUUUAGGGUACUUUGUGUUUAUGCCAUUCAAAGCUGCAUGAGUAUUCUUCCAUACUAACGAGACAAAAAUCCUCUCUAUUUCUUCGGCUUUUGUUAAAUUUUACUGCAAUUGGACUGAGCAUGCUCUUUAUGGAAUAAUUGUUUGCCAUCCUAAGUGUGGGUUGGGUAUUAAUUUUAUAUUUAUAUCUAAUUUAUUUAGCAUAUCUUGGCCCCAGAGUACUAGACAAUCAGCAGAGGCAAGGCAAAAUUACAUUGAAUAAAAAGGAAUUUAGAAUAUACUUUAAGACAAGUUUGAACUUUGAAUUAAGUGGCUUGUGAUUUUGUAAGCUUUUGUUGCACAUUUUGGUGCCUUGUGGUUUUGUAAGCUUUUGUUGCACAUUUUGGUGCCUUGUGG
rnacentral:misc_RNA from 1 species